UUACGGUCACAUCACGUUGAAACAUCGGUUCCCGUACGAUCACUGAAGUUAAUCAACAUCAAGCCUGGUCACUACCAAGAUGGGUGACCACGUGAGACUACCAGCCGCUG